rnacentral:rRNA from 1 species
UUUAAUUUCGACGCAACGCGCAGAACUUACCUGGUCUUGACAUCCCGGGAAUUCCUUGAAAGAGGGAAGUGCCUCGCAAGAGGAGCCUGGAGACAGGUGCUGCAUGGCUGUCGUCAGCUCGUGUCGUGAGAUGUUGGGUUAAGUCCCGCAACGAGCGCAACCCUUGUCUUUAGUUGCCAUCAUUCAGUUGGGCACUCUAAAGAGACUGCCGGUGUCAAAACCGGAGGAAGGUGGGGAUGACGUCAAGUCCUCAUGGCCUUUAUGCCUAGGGCUACACACGUGCUACAAUGGGCGGUACAAAGGGUCGCGAUCCCGCGAGGGGGAGCCAAUCCCAAAAAGCCGUCCCAAGUUCGGAUUGGAGUCUGCAACUCGACUCCAUGAAGCUGGAAUCGCUAGUAAUCGCGGAUCAGCAUGCCGCGGUCGAAUACGUUCCCGGGCCUU